rnacentral:rRNA from 1 species
AUUGAACGCUGGCGGCAGGCUUAACACAUGCAAGUCGAGCGGGGGAAGGUAGCUUGCUACUGGACCUAGCGGCGGACGGGUGAGUAAUGCUUAGGAAUCUGCCUAUUAGUGGGGGACAACAUCUCGAAAGGGAUGCUAAUACCGCAUACGUCCUACGGGAGAAAGCAGGGGAUCUUCGGACCUUGCGCUAAUAGAUGAGCCUAAGUCGGAUUAGCUAGUUGGUGGGGUAAAGGCCUACCAAGGCGACGAUCUGUAGCGGGUCUGAGAGGAUGAUCCGCCACACUGGGACUGAGACACGGCCCAGACUCCUACGGGAGGCAGCAGUGGGGAAUAUUGGACAAUGGGGGGAACCCUGAUCCAGCCAUGCCGCGUGUGUGAAGAAGGCCUUAUGGUUGUAAAGCACUUUAAGCGAGGAGGAGGCUACUUUAGUUAAUACCUAGAGAUAGUGGACGUUACUCGCAGAAUAAGCACCGGCUAACUCUGUGCCAGCAGCCGCGGUAAUACAGAGGGUGCGAGCGUUAAUCGGAUUUACUGGGCGUAAAGCGUGCGUAGGCGGCUUAUUAAGUCGGAUGUGAAAUCCCCGAGCUUAACUUGGGAAUUGCAUUCGAUACUGGUGAGCUAGAGUAUGGGAGAGGAUGGUAGAAUUCCAGGUGUAGCGGUGAAAUGCGUAGAGAUCUGGAGGAAUACCGAUGGCGAAGGCAGCCAUCUGGCCUAAUACUGACGCUGAGGUACGAAAGCAUGGGGAGCA